rnacentral:rRNA from 1 species
UGGGGGAUAUUGCACAAUGGGCGAAAGCCUGAUGCAGCGACGCCGCGUGGGGGAUGAAGGCUUUCGGGUUGUAAACCUCUUUCGCUAUCGAACAAGGCCCGCUUAGGGUGGGUUGAGGGUAGGUGGAGAAGAAGCGCCAGCUAACUACGUGCCAGCAGCCGCGGUAAUACGUAGGGCGCGAGCGUUGUCCGGAAUUAUUGGGCGUAACGGGCUUGUAGGCGGCUUGUUGCGCCUGCUGUGAAAACGCGGGGCUUAACUUCGCGCGUGCAGUGGGUAAGGGCAGGCUUGAGUGUGGUAGGGGUGACUGGAAUUCCAGGUGUAGCGGUGGAAUGCGCAGAUAUCUGGAGGAACACCGAUGGCGAAGGCAGGUCACUGGGCCAUUACUGACGCUGAGGAGCGAAAGCAUGGGUAGCGAACAGG